AUGAAAUCUGAAGCCAAGGAUGGAGAGGAGGAAAACCUGCAAACUGCCUUCAAGAAAUUAAGAGUAGAGCCAUCAGGGCCCAUCAUGUGUCUCUGUUGGUGAAGGCACAAGCAUCAGAGCAUCAGUCAGAACAGUCGCAGAUGGUUCCAAACCGAAAAGCACGAGUGCAUCUAAAGACAGUUGGCAUGGCUCUACAAGGAAGUCUUCACGAGGAGCAGUGAGAACCCAGCAUUGUAUACGCUCCAAGUCUCCUGUUCUUUGUCCUCUGUACUCCCAUAGCAGUACAACAGCAUCUCCUUCCAGCAGUCAGCUUAAACACAUAAGGCAGACUGAGCCACCCCAUGGCAGCAGUGGACGGGGAAUUUCAACAUCUAAAGUUCAGCGCAGGAGAAAAUUCUACUUCUCUUGAUAUUAAUCAAACUGGAGCAGCUAUCAAGUCUCUGAGAAGUUCGUUUCUGAGGCUCCCACUGAGAGUAAAACAGAAGAGCUCUCUGAUCCUACCCAAGUCUCCCAAGAAAGUCUUACGGCCAAUGAUUUCUCUGACUUUCAGACUGUUUCCAAGCUAAGUCAAGGCAAGCCAUGUGUGUGUGUAGGCAAGGAGUGCCAGUGUAAGAAGUGGCAUGACAUGGAAGUGUACUCCUUUUCAGGUUUGCAGAAUGUCCCUCCUCUGGCCCCAGAAUGAAGAUCACUUGAGGACUACUUUCAGUCACUGCACACCAGAACUCUGUCUGGCUCGCCUCGAUCCUGUUCCGAGCAAGCUCGUGUCUAUGUGGAUGGUGUGACCAUUGAGGACCUAGCAGGCUACAUGGAGUAUUACUGAUAUAUCCCUAAGAAAAUGUCCCACAUGGCAGAGAUGAUGUACACCUGA
rnacentral:lncRNA from 1 species